CGUGUAGGCGGCUUGGUAAGUCAGAUGUGAAAGCCCUGGGCUUAACCCAGGAAGUGCAUUUGAAACUGCCAGGCUUGAGUAGGGGAGAGGAAGGUGGAAUUCCUGGUGUAGAGGUGAAAUUCGUAGAUAUCAGGAGGAACACCGGUGGCGAAGGCGACCUUCUGGCCCUAUACUGACGCUGGGACGCGAAAGCGUGGGUAGCAAACA
rnacentral:rRNA from 1 species